CGAGGCGGGAAGGACUACUGGGCUCACGUGACCAGAGGCCAAGGGGCGACCCGAAGGCCCGGAACCAGCGGCACUCCCAGGCAGCAGAGGACAUUCUGAAAUCAAGAUUCCAGAGGCUACAGCUCUUUACAUAGCGUACCUGAAUCUGCUCCAAGACUUCUUGUCGCAUUUCCACAGCCAUAUGGUAUACGUGAUGAUCAGAGUCAUUGUACAUUACAGCAUUUUGGAACAUCAGCAUCAGAUCUCGCUGGAAUUGGGCCAUGAUGAAAGGAGGAUCAAGUGAACAUUAUGACAACAUUAAUGAGACACAGAAAGUAGAUGUAUAAGAGAAGGCACAGCAGUUUAGAAAGAAGACUGAACUGGAGGUAAGAAUCUAGGGCUUAGUUCUAGCUCUGCUAUUAACUGUUGGUUGAUCACAGGCAAGUCAUGACUGAGCUCCCCUAAGCUUUACUUUCCUUGUUCCUAAAGAAGUUUGUCUCUGCUACUGUUUGAAUGAUGGUAUCCCCUCUGAAAUUCAUGUUGAAACUUAAUCCCAAAUGCAACAGUAUUAAGAGGCGGGGCCUUUGCGAGGUAAUUAAGUCAUUAGUGCUCUGGCCUCGUGAAUGGGAUUAGCAUCCUUAUAAAAGGGCUGCAUAUCGAAGAGACCACCCUCUUACCCUUCUGCCCCUUCUGCCAUGUGAGGAUACAGCAACAAGGCAUUAUCUUAGAAGCAGAGAGUAACCCACCUCAGACACCAAAACUACCAGUGCCUUGAUCUUGGACUUCCCAGCCUCCAGAACCGAAACAAAGAGAAAUAAAUUUUCUAUUGUUUAUAAAUUAUCCAGCCUACAGUAUUGUGCUAUAGCAGUACAGACAAGUGACUCUCCAAAGGUCCAAUCGUGAUCUUUUAUACUCUAUUACCACACAAGUUUAUGAUA